CAGCCGCCGCGGUAAUACCGGCGGCCCGAGUGGCGGUCACUAUUAUUGGGCUUAAAGCGUCCGUAGCCGGGGUGGGAAGUCCUCCGGGAAAUCUGGCCGCUUAACGGUCAGAAUGCCGGAGGAUACUCCCAGCCUAGGGAGCGGGAGAGGCCGAGGGGAUUCCCGGGGUAGGGGUGAAAUCCUAUAAUCCCGGGAGGACCACCUGUGGGGAAGGCGCUCGGCUGGAACGCGUCCGACGGUGAGGGACGAAGGCCAGGGGAGCAAACCGGAUUAGAUACCCGGGUAGUCCUGGCUGUAAACGAUGCGGACUUUGUGUCGGACAAGCUAUGAGCUUGUCCGGUGCCGGAGGGAAACCGUUAAGUCCGCCGCCUGGGGAGUACGGCCGCAAGGCUGAAACUUAAAGGAAUUGGCGGG
rnacentral:rRNA from 1 species